UUUCCGGACUACGUCGAUUAAACUAUUGGACUACGACCUCGGAAAAAAUGUAAACAACGCGCUGCUGCGUUGCGGGUAUUUUAAUGCACAGAAGAGGAUUUUUCGUCAGUUGCAGCCGGACUAUUUUAUGAUUGACUGAAAAACAAUAUGCAAAAACACUUUUGUUGUGUCGAGGUGUAGAUCUGAUCCCUCAGCCUGUAGUCCUAAUGGAAAAAAAACUAAAAAGAAACUUCAUCGACCAUCAUCGACUGAAAGAGUUGUGGUCAGCUUGUCGAGUGAGAAUGGCUUGAUCAGAUCAACUGGUAUUAGCAUGGAAUAGCAAUCAGCAUGUCUUGACAAAUUCCCAGGAGGCAGAUCGGGAUUUCUACCCAGACUUAUAGUGUUGCUUCUCGGGCCCUGGAAUCUCUAAAGUCUGUGGAACUGAACAUCAGUUCAACCACACGAACCUUAAGAACUGUGUACUAUGAAGAAAACCAUCAACUCCGCAAAAUCUAUUACUGUUGUGCUUUCUCCUGUAACACAGGUAUUGUUUUAUGUUAGCAUUUAAUUAACAGUUGACAGUAGAUGCUACAUGCCAUGAGUGAGGACUGUUUAAAAAAAUUUCAAAUUGCAAAAGGAUUCAAGACUUUUUAGGGGGAUUUAUUUUAUGGAUGGUGUGUUGAAAAA